rnacentral:rRNA from 1 species
AUUGAACGCUGGCGGCGUGCUUAACACAUGCAAGUCGAACGAAGUGGCGAACGGGUGAGUAACGCGUAAUCAACCUGCCCUUCAGAGGGGGAAAACAGUUGGAAAGGACUGCUAAUACCGCAUACGGAAGGAGGGGAUUGCGUCGGAUUAGCUAGUUGGGGGGGUAACGGCCAACCAAGGCGAUGAUUAGUAGCCGGUCUGAGAGGAGUAACGGGCAAAAUGGGACUUAGAAAAGGCCCAGACUCCUACGGGAGGCAGCAGUGGGGAAUCAUACGCCAUGGACGAAAGUCUGACGGAGCAACGCCCGGUGAGUGAUGACGGCCCUCGGGUUGUAAAGCUCUGUUAAUCGGGACGCGGUACCGGAAUAGAAAGCCACGGCUAACUACGUGCCAGCAGCCGCGGUAAUUC